CCUACGGGUGGCAGCAGUGAGGAAUAUUGGUCAAUGGACGAGAGUCUGAACCAGCCAAGUAGCGUGAAGGAUGACUGCCCUAUGGGUUGUAAACUUCUUUUAUAUGGGAAUAAAAUGUUCCACGUGUGGGAUUUUGUAUGUACCAUAUGAAUAAGGAUCGGCUAACUCCGUGCCAGCAGCCGCGGUAAUACGGAGGAUCCGGGCGUUAUCCUGAUUUAUUGGGUUUAAAGGGAGCGUAGGUGGAUUGUUAAGUCAGUUGUGAAAGUUUGCGGCUCAACCGUAAAAUUGCAGUUGAAACUGGCAGUCUUGAGUACAGUAGAGGUGGGCGGAAUUCGUGGUGUAGCGGUGAAAUGCUUAGAUAUCACGAAGAACUCCGAUUGCGAAGGCAGUUCACUGGACUGCAACUGACACUGAGGCUCGAAAGUGUGGGUAUCAAACAGGAUUAGAUACCCGGGUAGUC
rnacentral:rRNA from 1 species